AUAUGAAGAGUUUGGGGUCUUCUGUCAUUGAAAUAAUCAAAGCCAAGAAUAAGCGUGAAAUGUUGGAGCAAAAAAUGGACGACCUACUGAGUCAUGAGAGACAAUUUGUCGAAAAUAAUCGUCGGUCCUUAGAACAGAAAAGAAAAGAAAAGGAAAAGUCUUCUACAUUUCUAAGAAGUGUUUCAUCAGCUACAUGACUUACUGACAGGGGAUCUGCCGUGCGACCAGAUAAACCAGGACUUGCAGCAAGCCAACGAUGCUCUACGAGCAGAACUCAACAAAGAAAUGGAGGAAAAAAACCUUCUUCGCUGCCAGUCUGAUCAAAAAUCUCAAGAAAUCCAUCAGCUGCAAGAAGAACUGAAAAUAAGCUAAACAGUUUCUGAAGGAGACCCAGAAUUAUGCGGAAGAGAUGAAAAAGAAGAGUUUGUCUCAGGAAAUACAAUUAGAAAAGAAAGAAGCUGAGAUUCGGGAUUUAGAGGGGAAAAAUCAAGAUUUGACUGAGGAACUUGAGAAAGUGCAGUCAGAGUUGCAACUUAAACAAGCUGAGAUCGCUCAUCUCCAAAAUCUAUCUGCAGCCGAGUUGGCUUGUUUAAAAAAGGAAAUAGUAAACAUCAAGGCAGAGCAAAAGAAACUUCAAGAGCAACUUAACAACUCGCUUCAAGAAAAUGAGCAACUGAGCAAGCAAAGCAUUCUUACUCUCUGGCUACAAGGAAACUGUUUACACUCAUGAACGUGAAAAAAAUCAUCCAUACCCCGUGCAUCCACUUUCAUAAGUGCAAGGCUAUUUGGGGAACCAGUGAAAUUAGUAGCUGAGACAACAGAAGCCUGAACCCUCCUUGUCAAAGCCGGCACAGUAAUCCAUUGGUCACUGCCAACACCAAAGGUAUUCAUGAAGGGAAUGGUUUCA